GAAUACCCCUUAUGUUAAUGAGGUAUCAAAUGAUGAAGCUCUCCUGGAAAGAUAUAGAAAAGAAAUAAUUGAUCUUAAAAAACAGUUAGAGGAGGAGAAAAAAGAGCUGCGACAAAUGUUAGAGUGUGUUACCGCAGAAAAGGAGCAACUGAAGACUGACCUGAGGGAGAGUACUGACAGGGCCACUGAAAACCAGGAAGAAUUAAGAAUUCUUGGAGGUGAGCUUAAAAAGCAACAAGAGAUAGUUGUACAAGAAAAGAACCAUACCAUAAAGAAAG